rfam:Dipodomys ordii contig_30344, whole genome shotgun sequence.
GGGAAGGUAGCUCAAUGGUAGAGCACUUGCCUUGCAUGCAUGAGGCCCUGGGUUCGAUUCCUCAGCACCA